rnacentral:tRNA from 1 species
GGAGUUGUGGCUCAGUGGUAGAGUGCUCACCUAGUAUGUGUGAGGCCCUGGGUUCAAUCCUCAGCACCA